ACACGUAUCCUCCACGGAGAGCAUUACCCGCGGCGAAGAAGCCGUGUCCGGUAAGCAACCGGUUGGCGGGCGCCAGGCCGGCCACCGCCUCCGCCUCCGGCUAUAAAAGGCGCCCAGGUGCGCCCUUUCCACCCCGCGCGCUGCCCUCCUCCCUCUCUCUUGGAGCUCUCGUUCGGACCGGCCGCGCCGCCGGUGUCGAUCGCCUGAGUCGCCUCCUCGCGUCUUCGCGACUGUUCCCUUCCCCUUAUCCAUCAAAUCUCGAUUCGUUUCGAAUCGCGUUUGAUUUAUCUCCUCGCGGCUUUGCUUCCUGUGCGCUCGCAGGGGAUCCGGCCCGCCUCCGCGCGACCUCGGGGAGCGAGCGAUCGAUCGAUCGGGGGAUUCCGUCGAUUUUGCUCUGAUUUCUGUGUGAUGAGAGGGCCGAAGCAAGGUCAGUUUCCCGUGCUCGAUCGGUCAGAUCGGUUCCUUGGUUCCGUCACCUGCCUGCCUUCCUCGGCGAUUUCAGAUUUGGAUCCAGUUGGCCGGCUCUCGCCCGUGCGGCCUGCCCCCGAUCCAGCCCUCUCGUCACGGGUUCCGUCGUCAUCGGUUAAUAAUACGAGGUGGAUUCGACGCCCUCGUGGAUUCUAAAUUUUACCGGCUGAUCCCGCUUUUGGUAUGUGUUUGUGCUCUCAUCCUAGAUGCAGCAGAAGCAGAGGCAAGGGACGCUCGGUAGUUCGCAAGAGAUGAUAGAUAAAAAGGGUGGAGGUUUGGUUUCUGUUAUGGUUAUUUUGAUUCAUUGGUCACGGUUCAGCGGUUACUCUGAUUGAUAUGGACAGAUCUUCUCGGAUGAUCAAGCUUUGGAUCUCACCAGUCUGCAAUUGGAUAAUAAUAAUUCAACCCCUCCCGAUUUAUUUCUUUGGUUUGCACAGCACAGUUAAUCUACAACUCAUCUGAUUUAGAUUCGUUCCCUGAUGGUUCUCCAGAAAAUGGGAUGACACGGCUUAGCGGGACCACCUAUCUUCGGCUGAUUUGUGUUUGGAUGAAUAUCACUACUCCUAUCUCUAUUUAAUCCCUUACUCUCCACCGUUUAAUUUUAGCCUCCAACAAUUCUAAUUUGGAUUUGGUCUUCACUGUCCAGAAAUUGGGAUUACUCGGCUUAGUGGGAGCUGACUUAUUAUCUUCUUGUGUUUGGAUGAUCAACUCUCUCUCUCUCUCUCUCUCUCUCUCUUCAAUUUGUUCCCCUCCACAGUUCAAUUAUUCUCUCAACAAUUCUGAUUUGGAAUGGUUGCUGGUUGUCCAGAAACUGGAAUUACACGGGCCUAGCGGGUGCUCCUAUGUGGCCUCAGCAUGACGCUUCUUCUUUCCUGGCUCGAACUUUCUGGAACUUUCUUACUCAAUAUUAAUUAGAACUCAUCAGACAUUAGUUUUCCCUGUCUUAGUCAUUCUCAGCUCUUGCAGAUAGUGUCUUGCAAAGGAUAUAUAAUUGGAACCGGUGUUGUCUACCUGACCUUCCCAGUCGAGACAGGCUUACUUAUCCUACCUCCUCAUCGUUUCAUCCUAGUUUUCCCUAACUGAAGCAUUUAUGGAAAUGUAUCUUGCUUGUUGCAGGUCGUAGUUUACGAACUCAAGGCCACCAACCUGAUGCUGACUUUGCAGUUCUUCUAAAACCACUAUCUACUCAAUUCCUUAACUGAGAUAAUGUUAAUAAGAUCUCUUACUAGGCAGUAUUUUAAAUUCAGAUUUAGCUGCGAAUGGUGCAAGAAUGAAGCUUCAAACUAGUGGCAUAUCCUACAACCGGAAAAAUAAUAAUCUCCUACCCUCCUAUUUUUAUUUCAUUCAGCUACAUUUUCAUGUCUUUGAUUUGUGCUUAUGCCCUCCAUGUCGUUGCAGAUCUGUUUUGCCUAAGACAAUGCUUGUAGCGAGUCAAAAAUCUUCUGGUUUGCUAUCUAUCUCUUUGUUGUUUGAUUGGUUAUAUCUGUACUCUUGAUCCCUGUGUUGGUCUUCCUAUAAGUGUGUGGGUUGCACUGCAGGAUUUAUUUAGGAAGUCUGUGCCUACAUAUGCAAACCUUUGCUGUGUGUCUGUUGCGGUGUCAGGUCAGUAACUGUUGGUUCGUUUGUGUUCCCAUGCCGGAUGGGAUCUGAUAUGUGGAGAUCACUAUGAUGGUGUAUGUUCAAGGGGAUUUUAGGUAGGUCAGAUAACAUGCCUAUUGCCCGUGUGGUCUUCUAGUUCUCAUCACGAGUUCCAUCAUAAUCAAUAUAAGGUGGAUUAGAGGUAUUGGUGGAUUCUUAUUGUAGCAGUUGAUCUCGCUUUUGGUUUGUGUUUGUGCUCCUUCAGAUGCAGCAGAAGCAGGAAGUGGUUCCGCAUAGAUGAACCGAAAGGAUGGUGGUUUGGUUUCAUAUGGUCAGAGGUCUCCAGGGAUGAUGUUUGGUGUUGGACUGAAGUUUUGGAUCGCACAUCAACCUGGAACUUGAGAUCCGUGUUCAGAUGAUCCUCUGAAUUUCACUUCAUUUCAUUUGGAUUCGUUCAGUUCUAGCCUAACUUUAAUUUGGAUUCAUUGCUCGUUGUCACAAAUUGAGAUUACUCGGCUUAGUGGGAGCGGCGUACUAUCUUCUUGCUGACCGACCUGUGUUUGGAUGAUCAAAAUUCUGUUCAAUUUGUUCUUCUCCACGGUUCAAUUAUUCUCCCAACAAUUCUGAUUUGGAUUGUUUGCUGGUUAUCCAGAAUCUGGAAUUGCACAGGCCUAGCGGGUGCUCUUAUUUUGGCUCAGCAUGGCGGUUCUUUUUCUGUGGCUAAACUUUUUGGACCUUCUUUAUUCAAUACAGUAUUAAUUAGAACUCAGCAGACAUUAGUUUUCCCUGCCUUAGUCAUUUUCAGCUCUUGCAGAUAGUGUCUUGCAAGGGAUAUAAUUGAAAGCCAUGUGUCUACCUGACCUAGCUUCACAGUGGAGACAGACUUACUCAUCCUUUACCUCCUCAUUCGUUUUUACCUACUUUCCUAAUCCUAGUUUUCCCAUGACUGAAAUAUUUAUAGAAACGUAUCUUACUCGUUGCAGGUCGUAGUUUACGAACUCAAGUCCACCAACCUGAUAUUGAGUUUGCAGUUCUUCUAAAUCUACUAUCUUCUCAAUUCCUUGACUUAGAUAAUAAUAAUAAGAUAUCUUACUAGGUAAUAUCUUAAAUUCAGAUUUAACUGUAAAGGUGCAAUAAUGAAGCUUCAAAACUAGUGGCACAUCCUACAACCGGAAAAAACCUAAUCUCUUAUCCUCUUAUUUUUAUUUCAUUGAGGUACAUGUCUUCUCCGCCUUAGUCGGUAAUUCUCAGCUCUUGUAGAUACUGACUUGAAAAUGAUAUAACUGCAGUUUGGAACCGGUGUUGUUGUCCUCCGUCAACCAUAGCCGAACUUCCUAGCUGAGACAGGCUUUUACUUGUUCCCCGUCCAUCUUUGAUCCAUGCUUUAGCUAUUUAAAAGUAACGUUUUCCCCGAACUGAAAAUUUAUAGAAAGGUCUCUUGCUCGUUGCAGGUUGUAGUUGAUGACCUCGAGUCCAACCUGAUGAUGAAUUUGUUUGCAGAUCUUUGAAAUCUACGAGUAUUGUUUCAAUUCAUCACAAACUUAUAUAACCUACAAAUUAUCUUACUAGGCAAUAUUUAUAAUACAGAUUCAAAUGCAAAGGUGCAUGAAUCGAAGGACAAUCCGAAGCUUUCAACUAAUGGCACAUCCUACAACCGAAAGGCUCUAGCCCUCCUAUUUUUUCAUUUCGUUUAGCUACUUGGCCAUGUCUUUGAUAUAGGUUUUUGCUCCUGCCCUUCUUGUGGUUGCAGAUUAUUCUUUAGCCGGUAAUGACAUGGAAUCUGUUAAAUAUUUUGGUUUGUGAUCUUGCUCUCCAUGAUCCUACUAGUUAUCCGUACUCUUGAUCCCUGUGUUCUUUUGGUCUUCUGCAAGUGUGGGUUGCAGGAUAUAACAGUUAGGAUUUUAUGCCCAAACCUAUGUACAUAAAUCAGGUCAGUGUCUCGUAGACGGUCUGUUUGUUUCAUUUGUUAUCGCCGCCUCCGUGAGUUGGCUUGCAGGAUGGAUCUGGAUCUGGUCUGGAAAUGAAGCUCAGUGUGGUGUAUGAACAGUAUGUUGAAGUGGACUUGAGGCAGGUCAGUUUACCAUGUUUGGUCACAUCGAUCUUGGUGACGCCAGAUUUGAGUGGAUAUACCUUAAGUUCUUUGAUUUAUUUUCGUCUGAUGGCUCAACAUGAGUACCAUUAUCCCUCGGUACAAGGUGCAUUCUCGUUGGUUCUUGUUGUUACAGCUGAUCUCCGCUUGUGGGGUAUGUGUUUGUUCUCCUUCAGAUGCCGGAGGGUGAUGGUUGCUGAGUGAUGAAUCAGAGGGUGGAGGUUUGUUUUAAUGUUCAUGGUUAUUUGGAUUGGUUAUGGCUCAAUGCCUUGCAUGAUAUAAGAUAGCAUCUUGUGUGCUGAAGUUUUUGUUUUGGAUUGAAGUCGGAUUGGAUCAUUAAACAUGGAAUGGAGAUCAGAGAAUUUGCGAACUGCGUUUGGAUAAUUGAUCCUCAAUUUAGUUUCUUUGUUUGCACAGUCGAAUUUAGCUUACAGCAUCUCUCAUAUGGAACUGUUGGUUCUCCAGCUAUUGGACUUAUGGGGCUUUCUGGAAGGGCUUUGACUGUUGGAUGGGGUUUCUUCUCUUGACUUCAUCUUUCCUGAUUUGCUUUGAACAUUGCACUUCCUAGACAUUGUUUUCUAUGGCCUUGGUAACUACAUGUCCUUGCAGAUAUUUACAUGGACGAGAGAUAAUAUAGUUUGCUAUCUGGAACUGGUGUUUCCCUAACUGAUAUCUCCCAGCCAAGCAGGCUUAUCCUAUCCCCUCAAUGUUUGAUGCAUCAUUUAGCUGUUCAUAGGCAGCUUCGUUUCCCCAAAGCAGAAGUUGAAACGAAGGUUUCUUGGUCAUUGCAGGUCCUAACUGACGAUUUAGGUCCAACCUGAUGAUGAAUUGAAUUGCUGGAUGUAGAAGGUUUGAAGGUUGCUACAGGGCAUCAAUCUAGACGGACCAUCCUACAGCCGAAAAAACCCAGUGCUCUCUAUUUGAUCUCUUGAAGAAGCUUCUGUUGUCUUAGCUGCCUUGUGCUUGUAGCAUUGAUUGUGUUUUUUUGCCUCCGCCUUCUUGUGGUUGCAGAUUGUUUAGCCCAAGCUAUGCUGGUAGCCAUCAAAAUAUGUCGCAUUUUUGGUUUCUGAUCCUCUCCUGACUUCUAUAGUUGGGUAAUGUUGAUGGCUUGAUACGCAGAAAGAGGUUAGGGAUUAUCGCUAUAUAUACUAAAAACAAUGGAGAGUUGAAGCUUCUCGACUCGAAGCUUGAACAAACAGUUUGGCAUGGACACUACUACUCAUCAUGUCUUUGAUUAGUGUCAUUUCCACUGAAUAUGAUUCCGAUGAUCCCGACUUAUUGGUAUGGAAUUGAUUUUCAGAAGUGAUGUUCUUACCAUUGGUGGUUCUCCAGUGGGAUCUGGAUUACGAAUCUUCAAUGCAUCUUCUUGGUUUGCUGGGGAACUUCCUAUUUUAAUUUGACAACUUUGUAAAAUAGUUGGGCUAAGUUUGAUGGUUUUACUGCUGAUUGUAUACUUUCAACUCAAGUAGCUUGUACAUAUGUCAGUUUGUUUCGUUCUGCAUUCGUCAUGGAUUUGAAGAUACAAAGCCUCCACACAUCUUACGGUCCUCUAAUGGUUAAUUUGAUCUGGAUUAUGGAAUCUUCAAUUACAUAUUCUCAAAUCUUCAAUUACAUAUUAUUGGUUUUCCCGGA